CCUACGGGAGGCAGCAGUGGGGAAUAUUGGACAAUGGGGGCAACCCUGAUCCAGCCAUGCCGCGUGUGUGAAGAAGGCCCUCGGGUUGUAAAGCACUUUCAGUGAGGAAGAACGCCUGGUGGUUAAUACCCAUCAGGAAAGACAUCACUCACAGAAGAAGCACCGGCUAACUCCGUGCCAGCAGCCGCGGUAAUACGGAGGGUGCGAGCGUUAAUCGGAAUUACUGGGCGUAAAGCGCGCGUAGGUGGCUUGAUAAGCCGGUUGUGAAAGCCCCGGGCUCAACCUGGGAACGGCAUCCGGAACUGUCCAGCUAGAGUGCAGGAGAGGAAGGUAGAAUUCCCGGUGUAGCGGUGAAAUGCGUAGAGAUCGGGAGGAAUCCCAGUGGCGAAGGCGGCCUUCUGGACUGACACUGACACUGAGGUGCGAAAGCGUGGGUAGCAAACAGGAUUUGAUACCCUGGUAGUC
rnacentral:rRNA from 1 species